GGAGCUGUGCCUGAACAAAGGGUCACUUUGAUAGGGUGAAUCAUGGGGGUUAAAAUCCCCCCAUCUCCU
rnacentral:tRNA from 1 species